UACGUAGGGUGCAAGCGUUAAUCGGAAUUACUGGGCGUAAAGCGUGCGCAGGCGGUUUUGUAAGUCUGUCGUGAAAGCCCCGGGCUCAACCUGGGAAUUGCGAUGGAGACUGCAAGGCUUGAAUCUGGCAGAGGGGGGUAGAAUUCCACGUGUAGCAGUGAAAUGCGUAGAGAUGGGGAGGAACACCGAUGGCGAAGGCAGCCCCCUGGGUCAAGAUUGACGCUCAUGCACGAAAGCGUGGGGAGCAAACAGG
rnacentral:rRNA from 1 species